CGUAGGGGGCGAGCGUUGUCCGGAAUUAUUGGGCGUAAAGCGCGCGUAGGCGGCCUGGUAAGUCAGGUGUCAAAGGCAUUGGCUCAACCAAUGUACGCACCUGAAACUGUCAGGCUUGAGUGCAGGAGAGGAGAGUGGAAUUCCCGGUGUAGCGGUGGAAUGCGUAGAGAUCGGGAGGAACACCAGUGGCGAAGGCGGCUCUCUGGCCUGUAACUGACGCUGAGGUGCGAAAGCGUGGGAGCGAACAGGAUU
rnacentral:rRNA from 1 species